rnacentral:misc_RNA from 1 species
GUAUAUUGUAAUCAGAAAGUGUGCGCCCAUCUUCCAAUUGUUUACCAGCGAAGAUCAACCUCUGUUGGUCUGGAGGAAUUCCUUCCUUGUCUUGAAUUUUUGCUUUCACAUUCUCAAUAGUAUCAGAAGCUUCAACUUCAAGAGUUAUUGUUUUUCCUGUAAGGGUUUUUACAAAAAUUUGCAUUCCUCCUCUCAGACGAAGAACAAGAUGAAGAGUCGAUUCCUUUUGAAUAUUAUAAUCAGAGAGUGUACGUCCAUCUUCCAGUUGUUUACCAGCAAAGAUCAAUCUCUGUUGAUCGGAGUCGAUUCUUUUUGAAUAUUAUAAUCGGACAGCGUGCGUCCAUCUUCAAGUUGCUUACCAGCAAAGAUCAAUCUCUGUUGAUCGGGUGGAAUACCUUCUUUAUCCUGAAUCUUGGCCUUGACAUUCUCAAUAGUAUCAGAAGCUUCAACUUCAAGAGUUAUUGUUUUUCCAGUAAGGGUUUUUACAAAUAUUUGCAUUCCUCCUCUCAGACGAAGUACAAGAUGAAGAGUCGAUUCUUUUUGAAUAUUAUAAUCGGACAGCGUGCGUCCGUCUUCAAUUGCUUACCAGCAAAGAUCAAUCUCUGUUGAUCGGGUGGAAUACCUUCUUUAUCCUGAAUCUUGGCCUUGACAUUUUCAAUAGUAUCAGAAGCUUCAACUUCAAGAGUUAUCGUUUUUCCAGUAAGGGUUUUUACAAAUAUUUGCAUUCCUCCUCUCAGACGAAGUACAAGAUGAAGAGUCGAUUCUUUUUGAAUAUUAUAAUCGGACAGCGUGCGUCCGUCUUCAA